rnacentral:rRNA from 1 species
AUUGAACGCUGGCGGCAGGCCUAACACAUGCAAGUCGAGCGAGCGGCGGAAGGGUGAGUAAUGUCUGGGGAUCUGCCCGAUAGAGGGGGAUAACUACUGGAAACGGUGGCUAAUACCGCCUACUAUCGGAUGAACCCAUAUGGGAUUAGCUAGUAGGUGGGGUAAAGGCUCCCCUAGGCGACGAUCUCUAGCUGGUCUGAGAGGAUGAUCAGCCACACUGGAACUGCGACACGGCCCAGACUCCUACGGGAGGCAGCAGUGGGGAAUAUUGCACAAGGGGCGAAAGCCUGAUGCAGCCAUGCCGCGUGUGUGAAGAAGGCCUUAGGGUUGUAAAGUACUUUCAGCGGGGAGGCGUUACCCGCAGAAGAAGCACCGGCUAACUCCGUGCCAGCAGCCGCGGUAAUAC